rnacentral:rRNA from 1 species
UACAUGGGGUGCAAACGUUGCUCGGAAUUAUUGGGCGUAAAGAGCUCGUAGGCGGUUUGUCGCGUCUGCUGUGAAAACUGGAGGCUCAACCUCCAGCCUGCAGUGGGUACGGGCAGACUAGAGUGCGGUAGGGGAGAUUGGAAUUCCUGGUGUAGCGGUGGAAUGCGCAGAUAUCAGGAGGAACACCGAUGGCGAAGGCAGAUCUCUGGGCCGUAACUGACGCUGAGGAGCGAAAGCAUGGGGAGCGAACAGG